rnacentral:rRNA from 1 species
GAUGAACGCUGGCGGCGUGCCUAAUACAUGCAAGUAGAACGCUGAAGCUUGGUGCUUGCACCGAGCGGAUGAGUUGCGAACGGGUGAGUAACGCGUAGGUAACCUGCCUGGUAGCGGGGGAUAACUAUUGGAAACGAUAGCUAAUACCGCAUGACAACAGUUAUUGCAUGAUAACUGUUUAAAAGGGGCAAUUGCUCCACUACCAGAUGGACCUGCGUUGUAUUAGCUAGUUGGUGAGGUAACGGCUCACCAAGGCGACGAUACAUAGCCGACCUGAGAGGAUGAACGGCCACAUUGGGACUGAGACACGGCCCAGACUCCUACGGGAGGCAGCAGUGGGGAAUCUUCCGCAAUGGACGAAAGUCUGACGGAGCAACGCCGCGUGAGUGAAGAAGGUUUUCGGAUCGUAAAGCUCUGUUGUAAGAGAAGAACGAGUGUGAGAGUGGAAAGUUCACACUGUGACG